AUUGAACGCUGGCGGCAUGCCUUACACAUGCAAAUCGAACGGUAACGGGCCUUCGGGUGCCGCCGAGUGGCGAACGGGUGAGUAAUACAUCGGAACGUGCCCGAUCGUGGGGGAUAACGAGGCGAAAGCUUUGCUAAUACCGCAUACGAUCUACGGAUGAAAGCAGGGGACCGCAAGGCCUUGCGCGGACGGAGCGGCCGAUGGCAGAUUAGGUAGUUGGUGGGAUAAAAGCUUACCAAGCCGACGAUCUGUAGCUGGUCUGAGAGGAUGAUCAGCCACACUGGGACUGAGACACGGCCCAGACUCCUACGGGAGGCAGCAGUGGGGAAUUUUGGACAAUGGGCGCAAGCCUGAUCCAGCCAUGCCGCGUGCAGGAUGAAGGCCUUCGGGUUGUAAACUGAUUUUGUACGGAACGAAAAGCCUUCUUUUAAUACAGGAGGGUCAUGACGGUACCGUAAGAAUAAGCACCGGCUAACUACGUG
rnacentral:rRNA from 1 species